rnacentral:misc_RNA from 1 species
AGCAGCAGAGAAACUCAACAUGACAGGUCUACAAGCUUUCUUGGAGUGUCACACCACAAGAUUAUCUAGCCAAUGCUAUUCUCUACACUAUCAGGAAGAAGCUGCAAGUGUUUGUGGCCGCCAAUCACCUUUCUGUGCGCUGAGCAAGCCUUCUUGGUCUCUGGAGAAGGUUAGAUGAACCUCCCAUCUCAGGGACUUUAACAGGUUCUCAACUUCUCCUAUUGCUUUGGACUCAUCACG